rnacentral:rRNA from 1 species
GACGAACGCUGGCGGCGUGCUUAACACAUGCAAGUCGAACGGAAAGGCCCUGCUUUUGUGGGGUGCUCGAGUGGCGAACGGGUGAGUAACACGUGAGUAACCUGCCCUUGACUUUGGGAUAACUUCAGGAAACUGGGGCUAAUACCGGAUAGGAGCUCCUGCUGCAUGGCGGGGGUUGGAAAGUUUCGGCGAUUGGGGAUGGACUCGCGGCUUAUCAGCUUGUUGGUGGGGUAGUGGCUUACCAAGGCUUUGACGGGUAGCCGGCCUGAGAGGGUGACCGGCACCAGUGGCAAUGUCGUACGGGCGAGCGACCGGCGGGAGGGAGGAGGGGGAAAUGGUCAUAGAGGGGGGGAACAAGCAUGAUCCAGCGCGGGGGGGGGGGGGCGGUGGUCGGGGUGUUGAGCCGUUUUCUGUGGUGCGUAAGCGUGGGUGAGGGGAAUGGGUAAGAAAACACGGGCUAACUACGGGCAAGGCGGCGUGUACAGGCGGAAGGGCAGACGUCUGACC